CCCUAGCAGCUCAGUUGGUAAAGAAUCUGCCUGCAAUGCAGGAGACCCAGGUUUGAUCCCUGGGUUAGGCA
rnacentral:tRNA from 1 species